AUCAUUACGCCAGUCCACUUUGUUUAUGCAUGCAUACGCGUAGCAGGCGGCGUCGGCAGCAGACGGUCCCUAGCAGCGCUGGUGCUGCUGUUGCUGCUACUGCUGCCGCUGCUGCAACGGGUUUUUGGCGGUGGCAGUAGCAGCACCACAGCGCAACGGCAGCAGCGGCUAACUAUAAUGUCCGUACGCUAGCUGUACGCCGCUGCACAGACCACAGCAGAAACACGGCAAGGUGUCCGUUGCUGUUGUUGAUGCUGUGGUUUUGUCCGGUAUCGCAGCAACUUCUGAAGCCGCCAAUCGUUCCGAUGGAGUUGUUCACCUCGCAACAGUUGCUAGUGAAUGCAGCAGUCACGGUGGUCAGCAGUGCCCCGAGUUCACAAAAGUCUAUCCCGGAAGGAAAAGCGAGCGUGCGGAAUUGUGUGCGUGCGUGAUAGUGUAUGUGGCAGGUCCAGUGGUCAUCCGAUGGUUCACUCAGAGGAUGCAAAAAUGGUCAACAAACCGCGUUCAACCGCGUGCGUUAGGACGUCGGUCAGUGCGUUCGUUCGAUUCGGGGUGGAAAAAGAAGAAGGUUGGCAGCAAACUUUCCGUCAGCAGUGGUCGAAGCAUGCCCACUCUAGCGGUGGUCAUAAAGAGAGAGCGCGUGUGUUUUGCUUCUCCGAAACCGUGACCGGUGUGAAAUGUGUCAGUUUUCGUUUGUUUAUUAUCCUGUGACCCUGUCAACAAGAAACGAGCGCAGUGGACAACACCGAUAUCCACCGCCGUUGAUGGAACGAGUGAUAUCGCAAGUGGCAGUUAAAGAAUUGCGAUUGCUAGCGGCUGGUGCUGGGCUGGUGUUCCAAUGGGUCGGCUGAGAGCAGAUAUCAGAAAGGAUUAGUGAUUAUGGUUUGAUUAGUGCAAUAGAGCUUAAAAUCAACAUCUAGCAUCGCCAUCGUGUGAAAUGAAUUCGUUUUGGAUUAAUUAACUGUUUUGACUUAUUUUUCUGGUGCAUCCUCGUUUUUUGAGAAACUCUCGUCCAAAUCUCUGCCACACCAUUUUUAUCAACAAACCAAGCUCCGAGCGUCAUAAUCUGCUUCAAACACAGUGCACGGAAUGAUACGGCAGGACGCACCACGAACGUUUUGAGUGCACGCUCUCGCUUCAACAGUGAUAAGCAUAAAUGUGAAUGCGAAACUCAGCUGUUCCUGUCGUCCCGGCGAAAGCUGAUACGUGAUAGUGAAUCAUCCCCAUUCAGAGCAAAUCAGUCUCGUGAACUAGUUUCGAUAUGGAUAGUGCAGCCUUCAAUGCGGACUUCAACCAUAAUUUUGUUCAUCUAUGAUAGCCCUUAGUUGAAUUUUCCUUUUGAUAAGUUCUUGAGGAGAAACCUAUGCGACGAAUCAGCAUAAACAACUCCCGGCGAGACUUUCCAACCGAUGCGAAUAGAACUAAUUGCACCGUCACACAGUGUUUUGGUCACACAACAGCACAUUUUCUAAUGUAAAACUUGUGAGAACAGCACUUUGACUGACAUUUUCGAAGAAGUCCCAAUUUUUAAGGAAUGAACGAUAUUCCGUGUUGGAAAAAUGGAAGAUAAAAUCAAUUGCAUUCAUAGCAAGCAACGGCAGUAUUAAUUUACGCUGAUGAACUAUUUUUUGACAAACAUCUACAUGAACUUGUGAUGUUGGAUAGUGUAACAACAUCUAACUGGCAUAAAUUUCCUUUGGUGGAAAUUUAUUGUCACAAACAGACGGAAAUGUGAGAGGACUAAUGAGGAUUAUGCUGCAAAGCACUACACAACAUCAACUCAACGGGAUGUAUUUAUCAAAGCCGCAUUACGGCUUCGAACGUACUGAUGACGUCAACAAACGUAGAAAUUGCUUCAACAACAACUAUGCAACAACUAAAAACUCCACUAACAAGCAAGAAGAGACCCAAAACGAACGAACACACACAAGAUUUCAUCAAACACGUCACACGAUCUCAUACGCCGCUUUAUCCUAAGCGAGGAAAAGGGUAAGCAAAACAACCCAAAUAAAAAACACUGCGUUACACCAUUUCUCCGUACGAGCACAAAACAAGUGUGCAGUACAGUGAAGGAAGAAAUUGCAUCGAAAACCCAUGACUAAAACUAUAUGCCCGACCGGCGUAAUAAUACUCGCAAAACAAGCAAAGGGAAGGGGAAGCGAAAACAAAGAGCACAGAUAAACAGAAGAAAUGCAACAAUUAAGUUCCUACUCUAACAUAAAGAAAAAAUGAAACAUGAAACAUAGAUAAAAAUAUACGUUAUAAACGAGAGUGUAAUAAUUGUACUAUUUAGGCGCAUGAAUUUAUCCCGAAAACGGACUGUUCGAUGUUUUUUUUUCGGGGAGUUAAGAAAAAGGAGAUUAAGAAAACGAAAUGUGCAAGCAUACACAGCACCGACACACACACAGUCACACAUAAACCCUUGUGAGCAGAAAAAAACAAGAAACGAAAAAAAGAGAAAGAAGCAGCGUAAAAUCAUGAACAUGCAAUAUACAUGUCGUGAUGACAAAUGUAAAGUUACAAGAGACUGAACGUUUGCCGUGUGGCACCGGUAUUUGGUUGAUGUUUGGGGAAAGUGGAAAGAUUUUCCUGCUAACCGUCACCUGCUUUUCGAAACAAAAGAAGAUGAAAACUGUCCUGUUCUAUUGCACACUUCGAGGAUGUACUGUGUUGUCGGAGUGGUUUUUCGUCAACGGAACCUACUAGCUGGUUACCGGACUGUUCGACGCUAAGAGCACUGCGACAUGCAACAGUUGGUCCUUAAAAUGUGUCAAAUUUCUUUCAACAACAGUGUAGUAAUGGAUGGCGCAAGAAAACAACCACACCGCACCGUAGCAACAAAGGCCACAUGCCGUUGCGCACGGCAAACAGAGCAGUUUGUGCACCUCGCUUGUUCUCAUCUUCAAACAAAACGAAGAUGAGACCUAUAAUUCUACUAAUGUAUCGUAUAUAGCGCUAAGAAAGUUACGCCCUAGGAAAGGUUGAGAUAUGAUCGUUUGAACGAACUAAAAGAUUACUCCACUAACCCAACACUACCCACGUGAUUUACGCGACGGAAACGUGCGUGAUUUUUGUGCGUUUGGAUAGGGCGGUAACACUGCUGCAUAAUUGUAUAAAUUGAAGGCUAAGGUGAAAGACGUGUAAGAAACGUGCUGAAAAUUAAAACAAAAGCACAAAACGACGAAUAAUCUUAACGAAAAUGCUAUACAGUGUGUGUGCGUGUGCGUGUUUGUAAUUAAAUUCAAAUCAAACUGAAUGCAGGAGAAGCAAAUUUCGCAACAGUCAGCUCGAGGACUGGAUUAUGAUUAAUGUACCAUAACUGUUUGCAACUGUUUCAUUUCCAUUAAUUGGGCUCACGAAAAGCAACCCGUUCGAUGCAAUUGUAGAAAGUUCCGUCAGGUAUUGGCUGCUCGUACACACACCAUUUGAUGCGGGCGAUUUUCGAACCAUUGCGCCUAUUUAUUUAAAAAAACUGUUUCUGUGCAAUCAACACAGUUUGGACCGGUGGCAGAACACUGAACAACCGUUCCACUGCAGAAGUUCUACUACAGGUUCAGAAAGAGAUAAGCAUUGCGAUCGUACUUAUUAUUGUAGUUGGCUUGUCUAUGUACAUGGAAAUAUUUUAUAAAAUGACAAAAAGCAACAAAAGCAACCAAAAAAACUAAAAAACAUUUUAAAAAAACCUAUGAAAAAAAAACAGAAUUACCGAGUGCAUAAAAUAGAUGGAAGUUAAACCAAAACACACACACACACACACUUACAUAUUCAUACAUAAUCACUGAAUAUAUCUAUUCCUUAAAGAUCAAACCCCCUAAACUAAAUGAUCCUUCCCAAUCGUAAACGUUAAGUGGAGGGCAGCGAUCGAGUGCGUUCGAUCGCGGCCCAACAUUACGCUAAAUGAUCAAAUGUGCAAUGUAAGAUUGGUACAGGUGUGUGUGCAAUAAUCCCAAGGGGGCAACCUUUUCCAUAGGGAAUCGAAACCGACCAAAGGAUGCUGUGUGCUUAAUAUAUGCGAGGAAGCACCGUGUCCUUUGUUCUGUUUCAAUUCAACCAAAUGAGGCUCUCCAGUUUUCGAAGCUACAAACUUCAAACCAAUCUUCUGAAGUCGACAGAAGCAUGGAUUCAAGUUUGGUUGGCAUGUUCAUCUACAGCUAUAUUGCCGCAGAGCUGAACAGAAAGUAAGAAACACAACAAAUCGUCCCAAAUCGAUUGGCAUGACAUAUUUUUUUAGAUUUAUAGAGAUGACGUGGCGAGGCGAGGCGAAGGGUGGUAAUAGUAAUAAGCGAGUGGCUAAGCGGUAGCACUAACUGAUGAAAAGUUCCUAUAAUGCAUUUCCCACAAUUCUUCGAGUCGUGUCGGGAACGAGGGGGAAUGCGACCAUUUUGCAUAAAUAUUACACUUCUGCGUGAAUAAGAAUAUUGUACCAGUACUCAUCAUAAAGCUAACACUUAUGUAUAAAAAAAGGUAAUGUUUAUUGUUUAUUGACUUAAGUUGCGACUUUUAUUAUGACGCGGCGCAUUAGUACGUUAGAGAAGCAUCAUUCAGUGCUAGUAAAAAUAGCGAUCUUUAAUCGAUGUAUGUUCGCUUCGGCUUAAUGAACUUCUACGCAACGGUCCAAACAAACACAAAGAGCAUAAGAAGAAAUUGAACUGAACUUUCACACCAAUUAACCACCAACGUGCGUGUGCGAGCCUUACCUGGCGGAACAGAACACAGUUGCAGCGAACGGUUGAAUCGUAAACAUUCCAUGGCCAACGAAAGAUAGAAUGCGUCUGUCUUUUCAAAAACAGUAAAGAACAAUCAAUCAUUGUGAAGUUGCACAGUGUAACGGACUUUUCAUUUGGUUUAGAACUUCAACACUGCACUGCAAACACUUCACCUGGUGUGUGGUUUAAUUUGAUGUAAAAACAAAAGUAUGAAUACACAGCUCCUUAUACAUAAACACACAUGAAGGGGCAUUUGUUUAGUGAGGUUGGCAGUUACGACCUACACAACCUUCCUCCUACAAGCAAAUUUGAAUGUAAAGCAUGGCAAUUGAUACUCGCGAAAACAACAAUAAUAGUUUACUAGGUUGAAUAGAGAAACAAACAAACAAACGAAACGUGCGGAAGCGUGUUUGAAUGAUGAACAUGAAGUGGGAAAGCAACAUGUAUGGCUGAAACCCGCCAAUAACUUUUAAUGAAACGUAUUUGGUUCCUAUUCGAGGAGGGGAGAGAAAAGAAGAGAGAUAAGAAGAGAGACACAUAAAACACACACACACAAAGUAAGGAAGAAAAUACACUCCAAUUCGAACAAAAAUCACAAUGCAAAACAUCAAAACAUGAUAACGAAAAAAUCAAACGGAUCCGGUUAAAUACACAAGACCAACAAAAAGCCAAAAGCAAGAGAAAACGAAAGAGAGCGAGAGAGAAAAACACACAAACACAUACACACAUAAGGGUUGAAGAAAACAUGGAAAACGGAAAGACUCGACAUAUCAUGAAACGAUUACAUUUGCCCUCGCAUUAACAAAAAGUGAAAAUAAGGAAACAUUUUUAAAACCCCAACAGCAAACGAAGCAAAGCAGAAGGUGCAAACACACAGGAAGCAAAAAUGGAUAAGGAAAAAAGAAAAGUUCUUUCAUGUGUCAAAUGUCAACCUACAUAACACACUACUAUUACUAGUAAUGCAACUAUUGCUACGAAUACUACUACUACUAAAGCUACUACUACUACUACCACUACUACCACUACUAACAACAAUCCAACAUUCCAACUCACAACGACACACCAGGCCCAGUUCGCGAAAAACCCAGUGUUACUUAGUGUACUUUCCAUUUUGUGAAACGUUGUUGGUCCGUUUUCGUUUCUCCCUUUUGCAACUUGUUGUGAUCUACUUCCUGGUUUAAGCAAACAAUCGAAAACACGCCAAUCGAAGGCCAAGAUGAAGAAGACGAAGAAAAAAUGAACAAAAACCUCUACUACAAAGUUCCUGUUCCCUUGCAUUAUGCGGUGUCCGAUCGCCAAAGGGAGGAUGAUGAUCGGUACCCGGGGGAUGAUUGUUUGUUUGUGUGUGUAUGUGUUUUCUUUUUACGUAGUUUUUUUGUUCAGGUUUAAUCCAAUCGCACUGUUCCCCUCAAUAUCCUUGUUGGACAUUGCACGGGUGAAAGCGAUCGUUUUUUAAGGUUUAGUUGAGGAAAAACGGUCUACGAAUUGUGAAGGAAAACUCUGUGUAGAAACAGUUCAAAUUUCAACCCGUUGGACACUGAAACUAGUAAAAGUGAAGUGUAGUUCCUUUCGGAAUGUUUAAUUUGAAUUGUUUCGAGUUUUCGUGUGUGUUUAAGAAAAGAGAAGGUUAGUGUUUGCCCGACAUCACCAUGUUGUGCGUUAGGUUGAAGACAGCCCAUACACUCAACAGCACAUCCAUCUUUGAAGCAUAACCAACACAAUCCACGUAUGACGACCGUAUUUGAAAACAACCCAACAAAAAAAAAAAGAUUAUAAAAAACAUUAAACACAGCUACACAACACACACACAAAUCAUACAAAAACCUAACGAAAAUGGUAAAAAGAGUUCCUACUAAUUAAGUACACUAACCAACAUUUGCACCUGCAGCGCGCAGUGUACCGUUUAAGUUACAUUUUGUUUUUUUUUUCCUUACCCUUUGUUUUGUUUUAUAUUUGUAUAAUUAAUUUUCCAUGUUUUUGGUUUGUUAUCCAUGUUUGUUUUUGUUUUUAAUGCAUUUCCUCUUAUCGUUCAAAGCAUUCGGUGACAUACUACAACGUUACGUUACUUUGCGUUAUUGCAUUUCUGUACUUUUUAUCGAUUAAAAAAUGGCAGAGCAGAGAGAGCGAAACCUACUGAUUGUAUUGUAUGUGUAAGCAUUAUUUGAUGAGUUUAGUGAGUAUGCAAAAUUGUAAAGAUAAAGUGAAAACAAAAUAUGGUGAGAAGUAACUAUUAGCUGUAGGAUCCAGGUGCAGUGCAAGCUGAUCAACCACCGUCAAGUCGGGACGUGAAUUUACCUUUUCCGAUUUGUCGCUCGCAGGGAGCGUAGAAUACACCGUUUGAAAAUGAGUUUAUGAGUUUCACGUCCACAAACACACCUAAGUCUACCGCAACACCACACAACGGACAAGCGAAGAGUAAAAUAAAACAUGAAACGACAGGCAAAGCAUAACAGUCAUACACGAAUAUCGUAAUCACGUGAAAGGGAAAAGGGUGCAAUCAAAUCACUAUGCAUUGCAUUGAUUUGUUUUCACUAUCCCACGUCCGUCUAUUCUUCCACCAUAAAUCAACUUCAGCUAAACUCAGCCGCUAACUAACGCUAGUAGCGCUCGGUAAGGAAACACAACAAAAAAAGAGAAACAACUUCACCACUAAACUUACUUCUCACUUCUAAAAGGAAGGAAGAAUGAAUGAAUCGUGAAAGCGAGGGGAUGAUAACACUCCUAACAAUUCUAGCACAAAUCAAGAUACAUGAGAUUGAUGGAAACUAAACCACACAAACGUACCGUACAGUCACACACUUGCAGCAGCAACAACAAAAAUCUACUUACAUUGUAUAAGAUAUAUUGUCAGAUGUAAAAGAAGAAAAAUAAAAUUAUUUGGUAGUCAA